GAUGAACGCUAGCUACAGGCUUAACACAUGCAAGUCGAGGGGAAACGAUAUUGGAAGCUUGCUUCCGAUAGGCGUCGACCGGCGCACGGGUGAGUAACGCGUAUCCAACCUGCCCAUCACUUGGGAAUAACCUUGCGAAAGUAAGACUAAUGCCCAAUGACAUUUAUAGAAGGCAUCUGAAAUGAAUUAAAGAUUUAUCGGUGAUGGAUGGGGAUGCGUCUGAUUAGCUUGUUGGCGGGGUAACGGCCCACCAAGGCGACGAUCAGUAGGGGUUCUGAGAGGAAGGUCCCCCACAUUGGAACUGAGACACGGUCCAAACUCCUACGGGAGGCAGCAGUGAGGAAUAUUGGUCAAUGGGCGAGAGCCUGAACCAGCCAAGUAGCGUGCAGGAAGACGGCCCUAUGGGUUGUAAACUGCUUUUAUAGGGGAUAAAGUGAGCCACGUGUGGUUUUUUGCAUGUACCCUAUGAAUAA
rnacentral:rRNA from 1 species